CUGGCUGCUGAGACAAACGCUUCACUGGGGAAGUCUCUGCGUAUCAUGGGGAGAUAGAUGCUGCUGACUUUGAUUGACCUUGGUCAUCACAGCUCCAAAAAAACAGGAUCUCGAUAAGCUCUUCGAGCUGAAGUCCAAAGCUCGGCAGAUUUUGAACCAGUUUGGCCCCUCACCCCUAAUCUGACUCUCCAAUUUCUCAUCCAUAAAAUCUGAAUCAGUCAGUACCCUUCCACAAGGCUCCAUGACCAAUAGCACUACAGGGUAAAGAUAUCUGGCACUCCUGGGACAGGAGGUCAUCUUAACCCUAAAAACAAUCAGGUAUUGACCAAGAAGAAAUUACAGGAAUUAAUAAGAGAAGCAGAUCCUUAUGAGCAGUUGGAUGAGGAUGUGGAGGGGAUGCUGCUGCAGAUGGCUGAUGAUUUUAUCAAGAGUGUGGUGACAGCAGCCUGCAGCUUGCUCAGCAUUGCAAGUCCAGCACCCUGGAGGUGAAAGAUGUCCAGCUGCAUCUAGAGCACCACUGGAAUAUGUGGAUCCCAGGUUUGGGCUCUGAAGAAAUCCGAACCUACAAAAAGCUUGCACCACAGAAGCUCACAAACAGAGAAGAGCAUUGAUCUGGAAGACAACCAAGAAAUAAUACAUGGAAAAGGCAGGGGAUGGACAACAAUUUAUUUGGAGAUACUUGAGCUCAUCCCUCAGCCAUCUCAUCCUUGGAGUUUUAUUUUUUAAAUGCUUUACAGAGAAGCAUAUAUUUCUUAUUAACAAUGCAGCAAUAUCUAUAAUGACUGAGGAUGUGCCAAAAGAAUAAAGCCUCCUACCCAAACUUCUUGUCCCUUGUCCCUGCCAUCUCAAAGAGGAACAGUGUAUCUUCCAGAGAAGAUUUCAUUUGUGGUUUAUUAUAUAAGUGAUUGAAUAUGGGACAAAGCAUUAUGGUCUUCUUGGGUGAGACAGUAUUAGCAGGAUUUGUAGGGGGUUUCAUUUCCUUCUUCCUUCCCCUCUUCCCUGUACUUUGUAAUGUCAGUGUUUACAUGAACAUGACUUUCAUUUGCUUUUCCAGAAUAAAAAAGUUAUUAAUUGAA